rnacentral:rRNA from 1 species
GGGGAAUAUUGUCAAUGGACGAGAGUCUGAACCAGCCAAGUAGCGUGAAGGAUGGCUGCCCUAUGGGUUGUAAACUUCUUUUAUAUGGGAAUAAAGUGUUCCCACGUGUGGGAUUUUGUAUGUACCAUAUGAAUAAGGAUCGGCUAACUCC